AUUAGAGACGUCUCUAGUUUGACAGAGAUUCUGCCGAGUGGGUUGCGUGCCUCAUGACGGCGUAUUACGGAGUCUACUGCGCGGCCAAGUGGAGUAACAGUUCUUCAAAAGAACUCGGAGUGCUUAUUCUUCCGGUUUCCAACAAACGGCGGCAUCGAAAUGGAUUGCGUAUGCAAAGCGCCAGGACUUUGGAAGCCUGCCGUCUCACGCCGUACUUUCUGCCACUUGCGACUUGUGGCGCUAGUUUCUCCUUACCACGGUGGAGGCUACAGCUGCACUCGGCUGGCGCGGG